rnacentral:rRNA from 1 species
AGGGCAGAAACGGUGGGAGCUAAUAUCUCCUGCUAAUGACGGUACCUGAAGAAUAAGCACCGGCUAACUACGUGCCCAGCAGCCGCGGUAAUACGUAGGGUGCAAGCGUUAAUCGGAAUUACUGGGCGUAAAGCGUGCGCAGGCGGUUUUGUAAGUCUGAUGUGAAAUCCCCGGGCUCAACCUGGGAAUUGCAUUGGAGACUGCAAGGCUAGAAUCUGGCAGAGGGGGGUAGAAUUCCACGUGUAGCAGUGAAAUGCGUAGAUAUGUGGAGGAACACCGAUGGCGAAGGCAGCCCCCUGGGUCAAGAUUGACGCUCAUGCACGAAAGCGUGGGGAGCAAACAGGAUUAGAUACCCUGGUAGUCCACGCCCUAAACGAUGUCUACUAGUUGUCGGGUCUUAAUUGACUUGGUAACGCAGCUAACGCGUGAAGUAGACCGCCUGGGGAGUACGGUCGCAAGAUUAAAACUCAAAGGAAUUGACGGGGACCCGCACAAGCGGUGGAUGAUGUGGAUUAAUUCGAUGCAACGCGAAAAACCUUACCUACCCUUGACAUGGCUGGAAUCCUGAAGAGAUUUGGGAGUGCUCGAAAGAGAACCAGUACACAGGUGCUGCAUGGCUGUCGUCAGC